CCUACGGGAGGCAGCAGUGGGGAAUUUUGGACAAUGGGCGAAAGCCUGAUCCAGCAAUGCCGCGUGAGUGAAGAAGGCCUUCGGGUUGUAAAGCUCUUUUGUCAGGGAAGAAACGGUGAGAGCUAAUAUCUUUUGCUAAUGACGGUACCUGAAGAAUAAGCACCGGCUAACUACGUGCCAGCAGCCGCGGUAAUACGUAGGGUGCAAGCGUUAAUCGGAAUUACUGGGCGUAAAGCGUGCGCAGGCGGUUUUGUAAGUCUGAUGUGAAAUCCCCGGGCUCAACCUGGGAAUUGCAUUGGAGACUGCAAGGCUAGAAUCUGGCAGAGGGGGGUAGAAUUCCACGUGUAGCAGUGAAAUGCGUAGAUAUGUGGAGGAACACCGAUGGCGAAGGCAGCCCCCUGGGUCAAGAUUGACGCUCAUGCACGAAAGCGUGGGGAGCAAACAGGAUUAGAUACCCGUGGUAGUCCACGCCCUAAACGAUGUCUACUAGUUGUCGGGUCUUAAUUGACUUGGUAACGCAGCUAACGCGUGAAGUAGACCGCCUGGGGAGUACGGUGCAAGNUUAAAACCGUUAAAUGAAUUGACCGGNUGAGAGNGCGAGACGACGACGAGGGAGGAGG
rnacentral:rRNA from 1 species